rnacentral:lncRNA from 1 species
UUUAAUAUGCGAAAACAAAAAAGAAAAAAAAGAAGAAUCAAACAAAAAAAAAAGAAAUUUCGCCUCUGAAAUUGGUUUUUAGUUUCUGUUUUUCUUAUUCAAUAUUCGUAGCAAACCAAAAAAGAAGAAAAAACCCUUCUUUUUUUACAACAUAUUCGGUUUUAACCAAAAGAAAUGAAGAAAAAUAAAAGAGAAAUCCC